GUGCAGCAGGCGCGAAACCUCCGCAAUGCGGGAAACCGUGACGGGGUCACCCCGAGUGCCACCCGAUGAGGGUGGCUUUUCCCCGGUCUAAAAAGCCGGGGGCAAUAAGCGGGGGGCAAGUCUGGUGUCAGCCGCCGCGGUAAUACCAGCCCCGCGAGUGGUCGGGACGUUUAUUGGGCCUAAAGCGUCCGUAGCCGGCUCGGUAAGUCCCUCCUUAAAUCCACGGGCUCAACCCGUGGGCUGGGAGGGAUACUGCCGGGCUAGGGGGCGGGAGAGGCCGAGGGUACUCCCGGGGUAGGGGCGAAAUCCGUUAAUCCCGGGAGGACCACCAGUGGCGAAGGCGCUCGGCUGGAACGCGCCCGACGGUGAGGGACGAAAGCUAGGGGAGCAAAGGGGAUUAGAUACCCCGGUAGU
rnacentral:rRNA from 1 species